AGAGGAGGUGCCGCCGGCGUGUUUCUCUGUGAUCCGUUUGAGAAGUGGAAGGUCAGGGGGCAUGUUCUUGCGCUGAACCUUUUGCUGUGAUCCCCUCCACCCUGCCUGCCCUUGAGCUGGAGCUCUGUGCAGAACAAUCUGUGUGUCUUCUCACUGGGAGAUGCUGGACAGCUGGUCAACCUCUUCCCGUUCAAUUUUCUCCCAUUGGAAAGGGCACGCAGGAAAUGAAAAGUGACAACAGUUUGGGCAAAGAUUUGACCAAAGCUCUCCAGAGGAGGCUAUCUGAGUGACCAGAAAGGGUGUGCAAAGGUGCUUGGCAUUACUGGUCACGAGGGAAAUGCAAUUAAAGCCACCACGAGAAGACUCCCACCCACCGAUGAGAGCCCCCGUUAAGAAGACUGACGAUGACCAGGGGUCACUGAGGCUGAGGAGCAGUGGAAAUGCUCCUCUUUGGGGCGAGAGUGAAAAUGGCUCCAUCCUUGUGGGGAAAGAAGUCUGAUGGUUUCCUAGUAAACUGCCCUUCCGUCAUCGGGGUGACCCGACCCCCGAAACCCUUAACUAUUUACUCAAGAAACAUAAAAACACAUGUCCCCAGGAAGGCCAGGACAAAAGGACUCACUCACAGGAGCUUUACUCAGGACAACUCACCAGGAAAAAUGAGCGGACAGACCGUGGCAGGUAGGGGGGUGCCACUCGGUGAUGCGAAGAGACAAGCUACCGAAAUAACGUGGCUGAGUCCCAGAAACGCGAGUGCACACAGUGUCGGUCCUUCACAGGGAGUUCUGGAGUCCGAGAAGCCAACCUGUGAUGGAAAGAGCAAUUUCCUGCCCUCCGCUGGUGCUCCGUCCGGCGCCGGAGCCUUCCCUGGCGGGCAUGCCCUGUGGCUCCUCGCAUUUGUGCGUUACCCGCAGCGAGGCUAGGGGAGUUUUCCUCUAACUCACGCACCGGGACACAUCUCUACCUUUGUCACUGGACACUGAAGAAGUCCCAGUUCACCUUGGAGUGGCAUGGCAUCGCGCUGAGCACGUUUCAUUGGUCCAGCUAUUCACCCCCGAUGCCAAAUCUCACCGGCACGAUGUUCUGUUUGGACGCUGCGCCAGUUUGCUUGGACUGUCCUAACCAAAUCCCUCAGAAUGAAGGGCUCAGACCGCAGAAGUGUGCUUUCUCAUGGUUCUGGUGGCGGGGAGUCCACGGUCAAGGUGCCGGCAAGUUCGGUUUCUGCUGAGGCCUCUCCCCUUGACCUGCACACGGCCACCCUCUUCUCGGGGUCGUCCCUCUGGGCUUGCAUCCCUGGCUCUCUCUGCGUGUCCUCAUCUCUUCUUCUUGUAAGGACACUGUCAGAUUGAACUAGCCCCCACCCUAAUGGCCCGAUUUUAACGGAAUUGUCACUUGGAGGGACCUAGGCCCCAAACACAGUCACUAAGGGGCAGGGCUCCAAUGUGUGAAUUUCAGAGGGAACGUCGACAUAAUCUUGUGAAUUCAACCUUGUGAGCUCCUGGCUGCUCAGGCUGGCUCUCCACACAGUCGGCAGAGCAAGCGCUGACACAGGAAGGUGUGGUCCUGUCCCAAGGUCAAGACCCACUUCAGCCUUCAAUGGCAACCAGGAUCCAAUCCAAAAUGUAACUCACCUUUCCAGCGUCCCUGUGCAUCCUGCCUACCUCAUUUCCUAGCUGUCCCCUUGCUGUCUUUGUCCGGCCACACACAGGCUACCUCUCUUUCCCGCUAGCCUCUCCUUUCCCCGGGACCUUUGCUUGUGCCGCCUCAUCGCCUGGACUCCCUCUGCUGGUUCUGCUCAGCAUGAGGGUCUCUUCCUGUGGGAUGAUGGCCCCUGACCAUUCCCCAUGGCAGACCCAGCGAGGAGCCCCAGGCGUGUACUUUCACUCUGUAUUGCGGUUCUUCUUGUGCUGCUUUUCACGGCUGCAAUUCGCUGUGCGGUUCGCUGAGAGCCCACCUUCCCCUCCUGUUCUGCAGACAGCAUGAAAGCAGAAAAGAUGUCCCACACGUUUGUCCUCAGAGCCUCAACCGCCACCCGCUGCCUUGCUCACACUAAGUUCCCAAUAAACUUUUGCUGAAUGGAUGUAUGAAGCCAUGGGAACCGUUACAUCAACUGACCCCUAGCUGUUUGCCACAGUUGCUCGAUUAUUCAUUCCACUCACACUCUGAUCAUUGUAUUCCCGACUGGCAGUUUCAUCAGUGGGGUGACAGGCAAGGAGGAAAGAGCCCACAGAAUUGUUUUUGGAGAUCUGUGGGCGAGGCUGGAGGAGGGCAGGAGCGGCUGAGAACGAGGUUGGCCAUUGGGCCCCGUGCACUGAGUCCUGUGAUUGCUAUUCCUCUCCGUUACACGGCCCCAUUCAUUAGCAUGGGUAGGUGAAGGCUGGCUGUAAUUUUAAACAACGGUUUGAGGCAUUUCUAUUCUGGUCCUGAAACAGCUUAAAUAUUUUAUGAGUUUUUAAGAUUGGGAGAAAUUAAAGCGAGUAUGUAAUCUUGCUCUGGUGUGUGUAUAAAUAUAUACACAUAUGAAAUUUAAAUAUACUCACACAAAAUCUCAUUGUAGAGAAUCUCAUAAAUCUAAAAAAGAUAGGGAGUCUAAAAAAAACCCUACCCAUAUGUAAACAUCAUAUGAAAAUAUAUGCAGUGUUAAUUUCAGAAUUUAUUGCAAUCUGCAGUAUAUCUUUAACAAUUGCACAUGCAUUCUCCCGAGAGCGAGAGGGAAUUUUUUAAAAAUGAAAUAUUUUGCAUAAAAUAUUUUGAUAUUUUAAAAAACCAAUAUAACUUUUAAAAAACCAUAAAAGAAAUGUCUAGCAGGAGUUCUAAAGGAACUGUGUUGUGGGGGGAAAAGUUUUCUUUUUUUUUUUUAGUUUUUAUCCUCUGAACAUGGGGCCAUGGCACUCUACAGUCAUAAUAGACUUUGGGGUCAUUAAGGGACUUUUAGCAAAUAAUCUAUCUAUUGUUCCACUGGGAAUGUAAAUAAAUGAGUAAUUUUUCCUCGUUAAUUAUAAUUCUUGUGAAUUACAAUGUCUAGGCCCCCCUCCAGGGCACCAAUCCACCCGUGAGUCAGAAGUUGCCACCCACACCGUGCGUACUGCAUUUGAUAAACUUUUUUUCCACGUAUAAUCAUUAUCUUCAAUUUCAGACCAUUUCAGAAAUAACUGACAA